rnacentral:rRNA from 1 species
AGGACGAACGCUGGCGGCGUGCUUAACACAUGCAAGUCGAGCGAGGCCCUUCCUUCGGGAAGGUGCCCUAGCGGCGAACGGGUGAGUAACACGUGGGCAACCUGCCCCUAGCACUGGGAUAACUCCGGGAAACCGGGGCUAAUACCGGAUAUGACCUCUGAGGGCAUCCUCUAAGGUGUAAAGGAUUCUGGCUAGGGAUGGGCCCGCGGCCUAUCAGCUUGUUGGUGGGGUAAUGGCCUACCAAGGCGACGGCGGGUA